rnacentral:lncRNA from 1 species
GAAGUAGUAUUUUAGAUGAUUAUUUACGGCACGUUUGUUACUUCUUUCACAAGUUAUCUAGGGAAAAGCCGAGAGAAAAGUGAAUUUUGACCUAUUACGCUUUUGUCAUCUUACUCUACCCAUUUGAGUGCAGGAAUUGAGAAAAAGUCAGCUCGUCAUAGCGAGCCAAAUGGCGAGCAACUCCAGAGAGUUCCAGGUUCCUUCGCCACAAAGAUGGCCAUCGCGAACUAUCUCGCCUGGCGAAGCAAUGAUGAGCAGUUCCAGAGAGUUGGAAAAACAUGACAAGAGCAAUUCGCCAUGGCGAGAAAUAUUCCUGCCAGGCGAAAUAAGGCGGUUUCAUCUGAUUCUUGUGAUGUGGCAGAAACCCACUAGCAAAGAAAGCUCAAGUCGCGAGACAAAAUCCGCCAGGCGAAAUUAUGU